UACGUAGGGGGCGAGCGUUGUCCGGAAUUACUGGGCGUAAAGGGUGCGUAGGCGGUUUAACAAGUCCAAUGUGAAAUACCCGGGCUUAACCUGGGGGUGUCAUUGGAAACUGUUAGACUUGAGUGCAGGAGAGGAAAGUGGAAUUCCUAGUGUAGCGGUGAAAUGCGUAGAUAUUAGGAGGAACACCAGUGGCGAAGGCGACUUUCUGGACUGCAACUGACGCUGAGGCACGAAAGCGUGGGGAGCAAACAGG
rnacentral:rRNA from 1 species